GUAUACUCAAUUUAUUUUAAUAGACUUUUUUCCAAGUUCUUUUAUACAAUUCUGCUAUUUUGUCCUAUAGAUCGCCUCAACGAACACUCACUACAGAAGAAUUCUUUAGACUUGCACGAUCCCAUCCAUCAUGGAUCCAUCCUGCUGAUUCAGCAAAUGACCACCUCACACCUGCUUUCUUUGGCAUUUAUAUUCGAUCCAUAACUUUCUAACCAUUAAUAUAAUGCUGAAUUCAUGAAUGUUAACAAUCGAUUUCUAAUAAGAAUAGCCAAUCUAUCAAAGUUAAAAGCUCUGGUCAGUUUAAUGGAUUUUCGCUAGUGCAUCAUAGCCUUGAUAUUUCUAAGGUUUCCAUUGGUUGUAAGUUUCUUUCAACUCUUCGUAAAGAACAGUUGUUAGCUAGCUAAUUGAGUGUCUGAAUUUUUUUUUGUUAAUGGGUUCUUAAAAUUGAUGUAUAUGUCCAUUCAUCUUUAUAUAUUUUAUGUACAUGAACUAUUUACAACGCAUUUUGGCAAACCAUGUGUAAACAUUUAUUUUUCUAGUUAGGGGAAGAUGAAGCAGGACUUUUCUUCUUUAAUGUCUUCAAUCUUCCAAUAGUUUAUAAAGAAAGCUUUUUGACAUUGUUUCUUUUUAAAGCGAGGGAAUACCUUUUAUGGCCCUGCCACCGUCUAUAACGUGAUUUGUUUGUUUCGCUAAACGCUCUUAGGAAAACGGAGCUAUCAGAGUGACAUAUAUGACUUAACGAAGCUGUGUAUGGCUCAUGAUCACUAUUUAGAAUUGAAUGAAAACAACCAAUGUCAAUCACAGUGUCGAAAUGCCCCUUGAAUUCAUUUAAUCUUGAAAAAUCGCGUUGAUUAAAGUUGACAUUACUUUUUUCACUAGAUGUUUUAUCGAUUGCUUUAGAAAUAGCCCUUUCGGAAAUAUCAAUACCCACGACUUUAUAUCCAAGACUGGCUAAAUAUCUAGCAUUUCUAUUUGGUUCACAACCGGCAUCUAAUACAUUCUCAUGUAAUUUCCCCAGUUGUACAAGAUUCAUGAUCUAUUCGUCUGGUUUCUCAUUAUCAAAUGGUGUUGCGGGAUCUUCAUACAUAUUUUCCCAACUAUUUUUUACUUCAGAGAUAUAUUUCUUCAUUGUUCUUAAUGAUAUAUAAAAAAUGGUGAAAUAUUUAUUUAUUGCCCCAUCAUGUUUAUUUUUAUAUCCUUCUUUCUCUGUCAGGAAAUCUAUUUCCGAGCUGACGAUAAAAAAACAUGUUGCAAGUCGCCGAAACUACCUCGGCUUUUAUUACUAUGUCCGAAAAGUGCGCGAAAUAUUGGAAUGGCUUGUAAAUUAUGCAUUUAGCCAAAUAAAGUGAUAGUAAGCGCAAAGUGUAUGACUCAAUGAAAAUCGGGUGUAUCAACUACUCAGUUGUUUACCAUACAAUGUAUUGUAAAUUAUGGGUAGUGUCGUCGCUAUUACAUUUAAAAAAUAUAUUAUAUUGAAGGUAUCUAAUAAGAAGU